rnacentral:rRNA from 1 species
AUUGAACGCUGGCGGCAGGCCUAACACAUGCAAGUCGAACGAGUGGCGGACGGGUGAGUAAUGUCUGGGAAACUGCCUGCUGGAGGGGGAUAACUACUGGAAACGGUAGCUAAUACCGCAUACCAUCAGAUGUGCCCAGAUGGGAUUAGCUUGGUGGUGGGGUAACGGCUCACCAAGACGACGAUCCCUAGCUGGUCUGAGAGGAUGACCGGCCACACUGGAACGUAGACACGGUCCAGACUCCUACGGGAGGCAUAAGUGUGGAAUAUUGUACAAUGGGCGCAAGCCUGAUGCAGCCAUGCCGCGUGUAUGAAGAAGGCCUUCGGGUUGUAAAGUACUUUCAGCGGGGAGGCGUUACCCGCAGAAGAAGCACCGGCUAACUCCGUGCCAGCAGCCGCGGUAAUUC